AUGUGUGUGUGUGUGUGGGCAGUGGAAAAGUAAAUGGAAAAGUCUUACGCAAUCGUGAAUAAUGAUGCAAGCUGUGUACAACGAAGAUGGAAUACUUACACGCGAGUGCAGACGUAUUUAUUAUGUUUCUCAACACAUGAAUUAAGACUUAUUUGAAAUUGUCCGAAAAUGCUUGGUCUCACAUCAACGGUUUCUGAAACG